AGUUCUCAGAUAAUGUUAGUGUUAUUGAGGCUAUACUCCAUAGGGCAUCAGGUGAUAAGGAUGGCUCAUCUGAUGUUGAUCUCCAAGUGUUGAAUGAACUGCCAUCAAGUAUUGGGCUUAACAGAGAGGAUGUUGUGUUCGGGACCAGUGAAACAGCCGGUACUGCCUCAAGUUCAGGUUCUAAGAAAGUUGUUGAACAUGAAGAUGUAGAUGAUGU